GUUGCCCGCCAGCCUAGGGCGCAGACCCGGGUCUCAGGGUCUCACUAUCUCACAGGGGCCUGGGAGAUGUGCGCCCCGAGGCGACCCAAUCCUGGGAGAAGCGGGAUUCCAGGUGCACUGACCGACCGUGCACCAACGCUUCCCUCCUUUCUGCAUCCCAGCCCCCUGAACGUGGGCCCUCUUCCCAGUGUACAGAUGCAGAAACUGAGGCCAAACAAAAGUUAGACCAACGUCUCAAGAUCAGGGCGGCCUGGAACUCAAAAGCCGUCUUUUCGCUCCUCUCCAAAAAAAAUUGUUUCCCCUUUUCUAAUUGCUGCAAGCUAUUUAAAGGAUGGAGGCUCUCACUGGGGAGGGAGAGGAACCUGCAAAGCCCCUAGAAGAGGCCUGGAUCCGUGACUGUCGUGUUACAUGAAGUCAGCCUACGCCAUCCCCACCCGAGCCCCAGGGAAAUCUCCGUAGCUGUCCAGAUGCGCCGACCGGGGCCUGGCUUGCACCGAGCAGGGUAGAAGCACGGUUGGGAGGGCCGUUUGUGAUAGGCCUGGAGGGGAGGAGAAGUUCAAAGCGCAGAGAGGACCCGGAGACGCGUCUCUUUCUGGAGCCCAGCCACCGGGAGGGAGGCUCAGACGUCCUUCUCAGCCUCGCUCCGCCGCACGCGGGCGCCUCAAAGCCAUCCGUCCGUUCGCCAGGCAGCAGCGGGUCCCGGGCUGCAGGAUUUCGGGAUGUGCGGCUGAAGGCCAAUUCAGAAUCAUGGUGGGUGGCACACUCACCUAGUUGUAGUUCCCACACGGGGUCCCUCGGACCUACCAAGACCCACAUAGGGAGAGCGGCUGGGAGUCUGUAUGUAGGCUGGGGACAGAUUGCACAGCAGUGUCUAAGCGGAGCUUGCUGGGAGGCGCUUCAUCCUAGAAACCCUGAGAGGGAAACUAGUUUGGUGGUACAGGUCCUAUUAGCAGUGGGAGAGAAGAGUCCCAUCCUCAGCUGUCUACCUGUGGAAUCCUGUCCAGAUUCCCCAUCCUACCCGAUUCCCAGGUGUCCAUAGCUCCCCCUGACCCCCCCCGCCCCCGAUGCCCAUCACCACAAAGCAAAAGACUAUCCUAGAAAAGGAGAGAAGAAGAGGAACUGAGAGAGACUGGGAGGCUUCUUGUACCCAGGCCUACCCAAGUCGGAGGCCAAAGCCCUGCUCCCAGUCCUGCUUUAGUCUCAGCCCACAGGAGCAUCCGCACCUGCAGGUAGGCACUAGUCAGCCAUCCCACAGGUGCCCCAGAAAUCAAAAGUUUCAUGAGAACAGGACUGGACUGGAAGGAGAGGUGGAGGGUGGGAGUAAAGGACUCCUGUUUCUUUAGGCAACUCACUUCCCCUUUCAGGGGCCCCCUUUCCCCACCGAGUAAAUGAAACAAUGUCAUUCACUCAACAAAUGCUUAUUGAGUGCAGACCAUGUGCUGGACACAGCAGGGAGCAGGGAGAAAAGGUCUCUGCUCUGGAAAACUUACAUUCUGGAUGAGGAAACAGACAAUAAACAAGUGAAAAAGAAAAUUUCCUAAAUGCUG
rnacentral:lncRNA from 1 species